UGCCAGCAGCCGCGGUAAGACGGAGGCUGCAAGUGUUAUUCGGAAUUACUGGGCGUAAAGCGAGCGUAGGCUGAUUUGUAAGUUGUAUGUGAAAUCCCAGAGCUUAACUCUGGAACUGCAUCCAAAACUACAUUUCUUGAGUUUGGUAGAGGAGAGUGGAAUUCCUAGUGUAGAGGUGAAAUUCGUAGAUAUUAGGAGGAACACCAGUGGCGAAGGCGACUCUCUGGGCCAAUACUGACGCUGAGGUUCGAAAGCGUGGGUAGCAAACGGGAUUAGAUA
rnacentral:rRNA from 1 species